GACGAACGCUGGCGGCGUGCUUAACACAUGCAAGUCGAGCGGUAAGGCCCUUUCGGGGGUACACGAGCGGCGAACGGGUGAGUAACACGUGGGUGACCUGCCUUUAGCUCUGGGAUAAGCCUGGGAAACUGGGUCUAAUACCGGAUAUGACUCCAUAGUGCAUGCUUGUGGGGUGGAAAGCCUUGUGCGGCUAGGGAUGGGCCCGCGGCCUAUCAGCUUGUUGGUGGGGUGAUGGCCUACCAAGGCGACGACGGGUAGCCGGCCUGAGAGGGCGACCGGCCACACUGGGACUGAGACACGGCCCAGACUCCUACGGGAGGCAGCAGUGGGGAAUCUUGCGCAAUGGGCGAAAGCCUGACGCAGCGACGCCGCGUGAGGGAUGACGGCCUUCGGGUUGUAAACCUCUUUCAGUAGGGAAGAAGCGAAAGUGACGGUACCUACAGAAGAAGCACCGGCUAACUACGUGCCAGCAGCCGCGGUAAUACGUAGGGUGCGAGCGUUAUCCGGAAUUAUUGGGCGUAAAGAGCUCGUAGGCGGUUUGUCGCGUCUGUCGUGAAAGUCCGGGGCUUAACCCCGGAUCUGCGGUGGGUACGGGCAGACUAGAGUGCAGUAGGGGAGACUGGAAUUCCUGGU
rnacentral:rRNA from 1 species